rnacentral:lncRNA from 1 species
AGCCUCACCUUUACCAACAAUCAGUAGCUGAGUAAAUAAUAGUACGUUCGAGGUCAGUUAUGCAGUCGCUAUCGAGUCUACGUGAAGUACGGACACUUAGCAAAUUUAUUGGAUCGUGAAGUGACAUUCUAGUAAAAGCACUAAAUGCGGAUCUAAGGAAGGCACUAGUUCCGGAUAAUAUAUUAUAUUUAAAUAAUCAACAGUGCUGCUGCAUUUUACUGAUGUCAUUAAUUAAUAAAACGUGACAGAAAAACUAAAGUUAUUUAAGUUUGGCCGCUAAUCAAACAUUCAUCACCAUUUCGUAAAAUGGUGCAACGAGAGGCAGUGGUCGUAAGGAACGCCGUAAAGCGUU